AUGACGACACACACACUGAUCUUCUGCUCUCUGCUGCUGCUCCUCAACGAGUGUGGAGGACAGAUCACCGUCACUCAGAGUCCCUCAAUAACAGCAGAACAACCAGGAGGAACUGUGAAUAUCAAAUGUAAAACCAGCAGUGAUGUGUACAGGAGUGGUUCUGUUGAUAUCUUAGCCUGGUACUUACAGAAACCUGGAGAAGCUCCUAAACUCCUGAUUUAUUACACAAACCGCCUCCAGUCAGGAACUCCAUCUAGAUUCAGUGGCAGUGGAUCUAACAGUGAUUUCACUCUGAGCAUCAGUGGAGUCCAGACUGAAGAUGCUGGACAUUAUUACUGUCAGAGUUAUCACAGUGGUGGUGUGUUCACACAGUGA